rnacentral:lncRNA from 1 species
AGAUUAUGUUUCAAAUAAGUGCUUCAUAAUAAAAUUUCAUGAAUUAUCGUAGGCUCAAAUUUUUUCGACAUGGCUUCCACUAACUCGUGCCUCCUUUAAGUUGAACCUGCAUAAAAAGUAGAGCCGAGGAAGAUUAGAGGCAUGACUAUUGUUAGUUGACCAAACCGAAAGACCUAAUAAAAACUAUGCUAUGAAAAAACUCAUCUCAGUAAACACAAUAUAACUCUAUAGGCACGAAAAAAAGAGGCAAAACAAUAUCAAGAGUAGAUUGAAAGAACAUGCAUGAUAUGAUGGCAUCUACUGGGACAGCAAUUAAUAAAACUAAAAUAUGGCAAUGUAACUAAUAAACACUAUCAAGUUUCCAAAAGGAUGUCUUUUAUCCAAAGAUUACCGUCAAAUUAAAUUAAAAUUACAGCACCUUAUUCAAUUCAUAUUCAAGCACCAUGAACAAUAGCAUCCAUGGAGUUCAUUUCUAAACUAUACACUUAUUCAGCAAGCACUUCUAACUUCAGGAUGGGUGUUUACUGUAUUUUUUUCAGAGAUGUACAAAUAUAUUAACUUGUUAACUCGACAAGAAGAUGUAUAAGCUAGCAGUUAGUGUUCUCAGAAAAUGAGCAGGCGGGAAAUAGUAUACGACACUUUAGUGGCUCAGACCAACGCUACAUCUACAGACUAUUUGCGAAGGAAAAAGAAACUGAAUGUGUCUUGAAUAAACCAUAAGUAUUCACAGAUGUACUAACAAAGCACGGUCACUUUGUGGCAUCAGAACCAUUCGGUCAAAUCUUGUAUAUGAAAAAUGCAUUGUAUACUAAGAUAAUAGACUAUCGAUACUGACAAAACAGGGCGAUGAGAAGUGAUUUACCUGUGCUCUGUAUCCAUAGAAUCACACUAACAACUAUCCAUCAAAGUUCUAGCCUCUGGAAAACACAACAAAAAUGAAACCACUGCUAUAAAUUGCUGGAACCGUAGCCUAAACAAAUAGAAAAUCUGCGUGCUCGAAAAACUCUAGAACUGACAUUGAAAUUUAGACACUGGAAGCAACUCGAAGAUGCCAACUUACAUCUUCUCACAAUCUUUCAGUUUGCUAACUCUGCAUGGUCAAGUUAGAACUCUCAAGGUUCAGGUUAGAUCAACUCAAGAAACUCAUUAAAAAAAAGAAUGACAACACAUAUUCUAGCCUGAAAUAAACUUCAUGGUGUUUAGAGUGAAACAGAGCAGCUGGAACGGCAAAGAUGCGCAGCGACGAACACACACGUGCGCGCGCGCACACACGCACACACAAAUAGGGAGACUAUGCCAUUCAAACUCCUACAAAAAACUCUUGAAAUAACUAC